rnacentral:rRNA from 1 species
UACGAAGGGGGCUAGCGUUGUUCGGAUUUACUGGGCGUAAAGCGCACGUAGGCGGAUUGUUAAGUCAGGGGUGAAAUCCUGGAGCUCAACUCCAGAACUGCCUUUGAUACUGGCGACCUUGAGUCCGGGAGAGGUGAGUGGAACUGCGAGUGUAGAGGUGAAAUUCGUAGAUAUUCGCAAGAACACCAGUGGCGAAGGCGGCUCACUGGCCCGGUACUGACGCUGAGGUGCGAAAGCGUGGGGAGCGAACAGG